GAGUACGGCCCGCAAGGUUAAAACUCAAAUGAAUUGACGGGGGCCCGCACAAGCGGUGGAGCAUGUGGUUUAAUUCGAUGCAACGCGAAGAACCUUACCUACUCUUGACAUCCAGAGAAUUACCAGAGAUGCUUUGGUGCCUUCGGGAACUCUGAGACAGGUGCUGCAUGGCUGUCGUCAGCUCGUGUUGUGAAAUGUUGGGUUAAGUCCCGCAACGAGCGCAACCCUUAUCCUUUGUUGCCAGCGCGUCAUGUCGGGAACUCAAAGGAGACUGCCGGUGAUAAACCGGAGGAAGGUGGGGAUGACGUCAAGUCAUCAUGGCCCUUACGAGUAGGGCUACACACGUGCUACAAUGGCGUAUACAAAGGGAAGCGACCUUGCGAAGGCAAGCGGAACUCAUAAAGUACGUCGUAGUCCGGAUUGGAGUCUGCAACUCGACUCCAUGAAGUCGGAAUCGCUAGUAAUCGUAGAUCAGAAUGCUACGGUGAAUACGUUCCCGGGCCUUGUACACACCGCCCGUCACACCAUGGGAGUGGGUUGCAAAAGAAGUAGGUAGCUUAACCUUCGGGAGGGCGCUUA
rnacentral:rRNA from 1 species